rnacentral:rRNA from 1 species
CAGCAGCCGCGGUAACACGUAGGUGGCAAGCGUUGUCCAGAAUUAUCGGGCGCAAAGCGCGCGCAGGCGGCCUAUCCAGUCUGUCUUAAAAGUUCGGGGCUCAACCCCGUGAUGGGAUGGAAACUAGUAGGCUAGAGUAUCGGAGAGGAAAGCGGAAUUCCUAGUGUAGCGGUGAAAUGCGUAGAUAUUAGGAAGAACACCAGUGGCGAAGGCGGCUUUCUGGACGAAAACUGACGCUGAGGCGCGAAAGCUAGGGGAGCGAACGGGAUUAGAUACCCGGGUAGUCCCUGUCUCUUAUACA